UGGAUAAAACUGGAUAGGAUAUAGAGGAAGAAUCUUUUAUAUUUAAAAGAGAGAUCUGCUUAAGGAGGGGCCUGUGGNGCAUUAGCUAGUUGGUGGGGUAAGGGCCUACCAAGGCGACGAUGCGUAGCCGGACUGAGAGGUUGAACGGCCACAAUGGAACUGAGAACGGUCCAUACUCCUACGGGAGGCAGCAGUAGGGAAUUUUCGGCAAUGGGGGGAACCCUGACCGAGCAACGCCGCGUGAACGAAGAAGUUAUUCGUAAUGUAAAGUUCUUUUAUCAGGGAAGAAAGAGGAAUUUGACGGUACCUGAGGAAUAAGCUCCGGCUAACUACGUGCCAGCAGCCGCGGUAAUACGUAGGGAGCGAGCGUUAUCCGGAAUUAUUGGGCGUAAAGGGUGCGUAGAUGGCAUAGUAAGUCUUUUGUAAAAAUGCUGGGCUCAACCCAGUAGGGCAAAAGAUACUGCAAAGCUAGAGUAUGACAGAGGCAAGUGGAACUACAUGUGUAGCGGUAAAAUGCGUAAAUAUAUGUAAGAACACCAGUGGCGAAGGCGGCUUGCUGGGUCGAUACUGACAUUGAGGCACGAAAGCGUGGGGAGCAAACAGGAUUAGAUACCCUGGUAGUCCACGCCCUAAACGAUGAGUACU
rnacentral:rRNA from 1 species